GAUGAACGCUGGCGGCGUGCCUAAUACAUGCAAGUCGAGCGGUAAGGCCUCUUCGGAGGUACACGAGCGGCGGACGGCUGAGUAACACGUAGGAACGUACCCCAAAGUGAGGAAUAAGCGCCAGAAAUGGUGUCUAAUACCGCAUGUGCCCUAAGGAGUAAAGCUUCGGCGCUUUGGGAACGGCCUGCGCAUGAUUAGCUUGUUGGUGAGGUAAAAAGCUCACCAAGGCGACGAUCAUUAGCUGGUCUGAGAGGAUGAUCAGCCAGACUGGGACUGAGACACGGCCCAGACUCCUACGGGAGGCAGCAGUAGGGAAUUUUCCACAAUGGGCGAAAGCCUGAUGGAGCAACGCCGCGUGCAGGAUGAAUGCCUUCGGGUUGUAAACUGCUUUUAUAUGUGACGAUUAUGACGGUAGCAUAUGAAAAAGGAUCGGCUAACUCCGUGCCAGCAGCCGCGGUAA
rnacentral:rRNA from 1 species